CCCCAGCGCCACAAGUGGGAACCACAUUUAUUGGGUCUAAAGCAUCCGUAGCCGGUUAAGUAAAUUCUCUGUGAAAUCGUCGGGCCUAACCCGAGGCGUGCAGGGGACACUGCUUGACUAGAGACCAGGAGAGGUUAACGGUAUUCUGGGGGGAGCGGUAAAAUGUUAUAAUCCCCAGAGGACCACCGAUGGCGAAGGCAGUUAACCAGAAUGGAUCUGACGGUGAGGGAUGAAAGCUAGGGGAGCGAUCCGGAUUAGAUACCCCCGUA
rnacentral:rRNA from 1 species